rnacentral:lncRNA from 1 species
AGGGGGAGUUGUGCAGUUUGGAGGUACGCUUGUGCUGAGUUUGGUCUUUAGGCAUUGAGGGAAUCGGUUUUGGGGUUGUUUUUCUCUCCAUUUGCUUUGGCUUUGGCCAGUUUUUCUUUGACCUUUUGCUUAUGCCGAAUUUUGCUAAAGACUUCGGAUACCUCUCGGGUUUGCUUUUUUGUUUUCUUACUUUUCCCUUUUACUUUUCUUUUCUUUUUUUGUUUUGACCAAAUAGUUCUUUAGUCCCCUCUACUGAAUCUCCUUUCUCCUCCUUCUUCUUUAUGUUGCCGAAUUCUUGUUCCUUCUCCACUAUAGAUUCUUCUAAAAGGGAGUAUUGGAGUUGGUUCUUCUCUGUUUUCAUAGUUGAAUGUUGAUAGGUGAGUUCUGCAACACCCUUUGUCUAGUUCGGUCCGCGCUUUUCUAUCCAUUGAUCUCUUUUUUGUUUUUUUUCCUGCUUUGCCUCUUUUCAGUUUUCGGAUCCCUUUUUUGAUUUGCUCCUUCUUGUGUUUCAAGUUGCACUCUACCCUGUUAACAGUUUGGCAGGUGAGUAAGUGUUUGUUAUUUAUUGUAUGAGAUUCGGUUUGAAAAGAUGUAUGUAAAUUAUUAGGUUUAAUUGGAUUGUUAAGCGAAAUGCGAUCUAAGGGUUGGAAGUUAAGGGUUUUGUGACUUAUGUGCUAGGUGGAGUUCAAGAGGUGGUUGGUGCUUUUCCAAGG